UAAUUUUAGUUAGUUCCGUGACACAUCAAGUUUUUGGCACCGUUGCUGGUGACUGAAAUAUUAGGAAAACUUUAUUUCUAUUAAUUUAUCCAUUUUUAUUUUAUAUUUUUUGUUUUAAUUUAAUUUUUACAUUUUAAUUUUCCUUUUUUUUUUUUUGCUUCUGGCAGGUUCUUUGGUUUAUGACUAGAGGAAACUCGUCUGGACCAUUACUUUUUGACAGUGAAUUGAAAGUAUUGCUCAAAA
rnacentral:lncRNA from 1 species